UGAGUAACCUGCCCCAGACUCUGGGAUAAGCACUGGAAACGGUGUCUAAUACCGGAUAUGAGCUUCAGCCGCAUGGCUAGGAGUUGGAAAGAAUUUCGGUUUGGGAUGGACUCGCGGCCUAUCAGCUUGUUGGUGAGGUAAUGGCUCACCAAGGCGAUGACGGGUAGCCGGCCUGAGAGGGUGACCGGCCACACUGGGACUGAGACACGGCCCAGACUCCUACGGGAGCAG
rnacentral:rRNA from 1 species